UUCCGGUUGAUCCUGCCAGAGGUUACUGCUAUCGGAGUUCGAUUAAGCCAUGCGAGUCUAAAGGUUUCUUCGGAAACCUUGGCGGACUGCUCAGUAACACGUGGAUAACCUACCCUUGGGACUGGAAUAACCCCGGGAAACUGGGGAUAAUACCGGAUAAGCCAUAGACGCUGGAAUGCCCUAUGGUUCAAAGCUCCGGCGCCUAAGGAUGGAUCUGCGGUCUAUCAGGUUGUAGUGGGUGUAACGUACCUACUAGCCGACGACGGAUACGGGUUGUGAGAGCAAGAGCCCGGAGAUGGAUUCUGAGACACGAAUCCAGGCCCUACGGGGUGCAGCAGGCGCGAACACUUUACAAUGCGGGAAACCGCGAUAAGGGAACCCCGAGUGCCAGCAUCAAAUGUUGGCUGUCCAGAUGAUUAAAAAUCAUUUGUUAGCAAGGGCCGGGCAAGACCGGUGCCAGCCGCCGCGGUAACACCGGCGGCCCGAGUGGUAGCCGUUUUUAUUGGGUCUAAAGGGUCCGUAGCCGGCCUGAUAAGUCCUUUGGGAAAUCUGGCAGCUUAACUGUCAGGCUUCUAAGGGAUACUGUCAGGCUUGGGACCGGAAGAGGUAAGGGGUACUCCAGGGGUAGGAGUGAAAUCUUGUAAUCCCUGGGGGACCAUCUGUGGCGAAGGCGCCUUACCAGAACGGGUCCGACGGUGAGGGACGAAAGCUAGGGGAGCAAACCGGAUUAGAUACCCGGGUAGUCCUAGCUGUAAACGAUGCUCGCUAGGUGUCAGACACGGUGCGACCGUGUUUGGUGCCGCAGGGAAGCCGUUAAGCGAGCCACCUGGGAAGUACGGUCGCAAGGCUGAAACUUAAAGGAAUUGGCGGGGGAGCACUACAACGGGUGGAGCCUGCGGUUUAAUUGGAUUCAACGCCGGG
rnacentral:rRNA from 1 species